UACAGAGGUGGCAAGCGUUGUUCGGAAUUACUGGGCGUAAAGGGCGCGUAGGCGGCCAUCUAAGUCAGACGUGAAAUCCCCCGGCUUAACCUGGGAACUGCGUCUGAUACUGGACGGCUGGAGUUUGGGAGAGGGAUGUAGAAUUCCAGGUGUAGCGGUGAAAUGCGUAGAUAUCUGGAGGAAUACCGGUGGCGAAGGCGGCAUCCUGGACCAAUACUGACGCUGAGGCGCGAAAGCUAGGGGAGCAACGGG
rnacentral:rRNA from 1 species